rnacentral:rRNA from 1 species
UACGUAGGGUGCAAGCGUUGUCCGGAAUUAUUGGGCGUAAAGCGCGUGUAGGCGGCUUUGCAAGUCGGGUGUGAAAUCCCUCAGCUCAACUGAGGAAGUGCGCCCGAAACUGCAGAGCUUGAGUACCGGAGAGGAUGGUGGAAUUCCCCAAGUAGAGGUGAAAUUCGUAGAUAUGGGGAGGAACACCGGUGGCGAAGGCGACCAUCUGGACGGAUACUGACGCUGAGACGCGAAAGCGUGGGGAGCGAACAGG